UACAGAGGUCCCAAGCGUUGUUCGGAUUCACUGGGCGUAAAGGGUGCGUAGGUGGUUGGAUAAGUCUGAUGUGAAAUCUCCGAGCUCAACUCGGAAAUGGCAUUGGAUACUAUUCGGCUGGAGGGUUGGAGGGGGGACUGGAAUACUUGGUGUAGCAGUGAAAUGCGUAGAUAUCAAGUGGAACACCAGUGGCGAAGGCGAGUCCCUGGACAACUCCUGACACUGAGGCACGAAAGCUAGGGGAGCAAACAGG
rnacentral:rRNA from 1 species